AACGCUGGCGGCGUGCCUAACACAUGCAAGUCGAGCGAUUCUCUUCGGAGAAGAGCGGCGGACGGGUGAGUAACGCGUGGGUAACCUGCCUCAUACACAUCGGAUAACAUACCGAAAGGUAUGCUAAUACAGGAUAAUAUAAGAAAUUCACAUGGAUUUCUUAUCAAAGCUCCGGCGGUAUGAGAUGGACCCGCGUCUGAUUAGCUAGUUGGUAAGGUAACGGCUUACCAAGGCGACGAUCAGUAGCCGACCUGAGAGGGUGAUCGGCCACAUUGGAACUGAGACACGGUCCAAACUCCUACGGGAGGCAGCAGUGGGGAAUAUUGCACAAUGGGCGAAAGCCUGAUGCCAGCAACGCCGCGUGAGUGAUGAAGGCCGUCGGGUCGUAAAACUCUGUCCUCAAGGAAGAUAAUGACGGUACUUGAGGAGGAAGCCCCGGCUAACUACGUGCCAGCCGCAGC
rnacentral:rRNA from 1 species